CUCAAUGGUAUCUCUAUUGACUUAGAAUUUGAUUCUCCAAUCAAAUUCGAUUCUGUGUGUAUCAAUCCUUCCACCUUAUGAACUUCACCAAGUCUAAUUUUAUAGGUAUUAGUUUCUUCUUUAAGAAACUUCUUUUUCAAAAAGACUGUCCUGUUGCUGAUAAACACCUUUUAUUCUUUAGUAAGAUAGAAGUAGUACUCUUUAGUUUCUUUUAGAUAUUCUGUGAAGAAAUAUUUAUCAGACUUAGGUCCAAGCUUAUCUAUCUUUAAAUACUUGACAUAAGCUGGACACCCCCAGACUCUAAGAUG
rnacentral:lncRNA from 1 species